GACAGAGGGUGCAAACGUUGUUCGGAUCUACUGGGCGUAAAGCGCGUGUAGGCGGCUUGGCAAGUUGGAUGUGAAAGCCCACGGCUCAACCGUGGAAGCGCAUCCAAAACUGCUUCGCUCGAGUCUCGGAGAGGAAGGUGGAAUGCUUGGUGUAGAGGUGAAAUUCGUAGAUAUCAAGCAGAACACCUGCGGCGAAGGCGGCCUUCUGGACGAUGACUGACGCUGAGACGCGAAAGCGUGGGGAGCAAACAGG
rnacentral:rRNA from 1 species